GGGUUGUGAGGUUAAGCGACUAAGCGUACACGGUGGAUGCCCUGGCAGUCAGAGGCGAUGAAGGGCGUACUAAUCUGCGAUAAGCGCCGGUAAGGUGAUAUGAACCGUUAUAACCGGCGAUACCCGAAUGGGGAAACCCAGUGUGAUUCGUCACACUAUCAUUAACUGAAUCCAUAGGUUAAUGAGGCGAACCGGGGGAACUGAAACAUCUAAGUACCCCGAGGAAAAGAAAUCAACCGAGAUUCCCCCAGUAGCGGCGAGCGAACGGGGAGGAGCCCAGAGCCUGAAUCAGCAUGUGUGUUAGUGGAAGCGUCUGGAAAGGCGCGCGAUACAGGGUGACAGCCCCGUACACAAAAGCGCAUGUGCUGUGAGCUCGAUGAGUAGGGCGGGACACGUGGUAUCCUGUCUGAAUAUGGGGGGACCAUCCUCCAAGGCUAAAUACUCCUGACUGACCGAUAGUGAACCAGUACCGUGAGGGAAAGGCGAAAAGAACCCCGGCGAGGGGAGUGAAAAAGAACCUGAAACCGUGUACGUACAAGCAGUGGGAGCACAGGUUUACCUGUGUGACUGCGUACCUUUU
rnacentral:rRNA from 1 species